rnacentral:rRNA from 1 species
UCGGAAUUACUGGGCGUAAAGCGCACGCAGGCGGUCUGUCAAGUCGGAUGUGAAAUCCCCGGGCUYAACCUGGGAACUGCAUUCGAAACUGGCAGGCUAGAGUCUUGUAGAGGGGGGUAGAAUUCCAGGUGUAGCGGUGAAAUGCGUAGAGAUCUGGAGGAAUACCGGUGGCGAAGGCGGCCCCCUGGACAAAGACUGACGCUCAGGUGCGAAAGCGUGGGGAGCAAACAGGAUUAGAUACCCUGGUAGUCCACGCCGUAAACGAUGUCGAUUUGGAGGUUGUGCCCUUGAGGCGUGGCUUCCGGAGCUAACGCGUUAAAUCGACCGCCUGGGGAGUACGGCCGCAAGGUUAAAACUCAAAUGAAUUGACGGGGGCCCGCACAAGCGGUGGAGCAUGUGGUUUAAUUCGAUGCAACGCGAAGAACCUUACCUGGUCUUGACAUCCACAGAACUUUCCAGAGAUGGAUUGGUGCCUUCGGGAACUGUGAGACAGGUGCUGCAUGGCUGUCGUCAGCUCGUGUUGUGAAAUGUUGGGUUAAGUCCCGCAACGAGCGCAACCCUUAUCCUUUGUUGCCAGCGGUUMGGCCGGGAACUCAAAGGAGACUGCCAGUGAUAAACUGGAGGAAGGUGGGGAUGACGUCAAGUCAUCAUGGCCCUUACGACCAGGGCUACACACGUGCUACAAUGGCAUAUACAAAGAGAAGCGACCUCGCGAGAGCAAGCGGACCUCAUAAAGUAUGUCGUAGUCCGGAUUGGAGUCUGCAACUCGACUCCAUGAAGUCGGAAUCGCUAGUAAUCGUAGAUCAGAAUGCUACGGUGAAUACGUUCCCGGGCCUUGUACACACCGCCCGUCACACCAUGGGAGUGGGUUGCAAAAGAAGUAGGUAGCUUAACCUUCGGGAGGGCGCUUACCACUUUGUGAUUCAUGACUGGGGUGAAGUCGUAACAAGGUAACCGUAGGGGAACCUGCGGUUGGAUCACCUCCUUACCUUAAAGAA